UCAAUCUCUACACCAGCAAAUACUGAAAGUUCUCAAACAUUUCGAGCAAACCGACGACUAAUCGAGCAGAGUAUCAUCAAACCACUCAGAAAGAUUACCUGCAGCUUCUUGCGGUUUGCCUCGAAUCUCCAGCAGACCGAAAUCAAACUUCGAAGGGAGCAGAAGAACUGCGAAGCCGCCGAAUCGCGUCGUCGCAGACGAUCGUGGCGCACGAGAUUGACGAAGCAGCACCGAAUCGCAUCAUCGCCGCAUUCGCAGCGUGAACGAUCGAUCGGUUUCUCGGAGAUACCCUUUGGAAUCGGCAACGAGAGAGGAAGAACCUGGAACGAAGCUGUCCAGCGCCGGAGCCACCGUGCGGAGCCGCCGAGCGCCGGUGAAGAACGCCGGAACCUCGAGCGUUCGUGGAAGGAGUUGCGGCGGAUUUUGCUCCUCGGUAUUUAUUAAGAUGAAUAUUAGGUUUAUUUUCAUACUGUUUAUUUAUAUAUAUAUAUAAUACUUUAAUACAUUAUGUUGUAUAUCUCAAGGAAAUUAAUUUUUUUGUUAAACAUGGUA